GUGGUGCUAGAGGAGAAGUCAAUGGAUCACUAAAGGCAGCAGAAUUCAUCCCGAGGGAACCAUGAAUGUCUGUUGAAUCUGGGCGAAAGUGGUGUUUCGACUGACCAACUGACAGACCGACCAACCAACAUUAUCAUCCCUAAGGCCAAGGAGCUACCACGGUGGAAAACUCCAGAAAACCAAUAUGUGGCAUUCUCAAAUUGAAACAGUAUGCCACUGUUCUCUGGACCUCACUGCCAUCCAUCCCUCCAGCUGUCCCUCCAUUGCAGCUGCCUUAGUCUCAGAGCCAGACCUCGGUGAACAACCCAACAUGACCAACACAGAAGAGAUCCUGUUUUGUGCAUUUCACAGCUGCUGUGUAGUAAGUACUUUUGC